rnacentral:lncRNA from 1 species
GAGUCCAUGUAUGGUGUUGAAGCACCUGAAAAAUUUGCUGAGGAAAGAGGAAAGCUGGAACCAAAAGGAAACCCAGGAUACUGAAAUGCUGAUGGUGGGAAUGAAACUGCUGGAGAAGACAGUAAAACAGGGCCUCUGUACAUAUCAGGUGUAUAUGAUGAAACUUCAGAUGUUGGACCAACCAUUCUCUGCGGUCCAUUGCCACGUUCAGGCAAGACUUGAGGAAUGCUCAUUGCUGAAUAAUUGUUAACAGCAGGAAACCAAGAUGAGAAGCCAGGCCUUAUUCCACUGAUCAUUGGCUGUGCACUUCGGGAAUUUUGACUAAAACCCAGAGAUGACUCAACAACGUUAACAUCAUCAACAGCAGGUCCAUCGUUUAAAUCAAAAUCCCUACUACCACCAGAAGAUAAGUUUGUCUGUUGAAAAGUUGAAUUCACCCGAUGACCACUGCUUACCGUAUGAUUAUUCAUAUCGGCUGGAUCAUCAAGUCUGUUUAGAUCAAGAUCCAGUACGCCACAGGGAUUUGUGGGAUUGGCAAAUCUUUGGGAAGGCAGAUCUUCAAGAACUCUUUCAUCCGGUACAUUUAGGUCGAAGUCCAAGAAUGUCUUUGUUUGCUUGCCAGCGGUUGUAGAAGCAUCACAGGAAGCCACAUUAUUCAUGCUUAGUGGCACCACCUCUUGGACUUUUCUUGGCUCAGCUGGUCGGAAGGCGCUAGUGGCAGCAGAUCCUCUCCACCCAACAGCUGGUUUAUUUCUCAACAGAUCAUCACGCGGAACAAAAGCACCCUUUGCAGCAGCAGCAACUGUAAUGGAUGCAGGAGGUCGACUGGUUUGUAAAGGAGUAGAUGUCAAAGACAACGAUCCAGAGAAGUUACUUGAAUUCUCCUUUCGUGUGUCAUCCCCACUGAAAGCUUCAUUUAGGUCAAAUUUAACUCCGGCUUCCAGCUCUGACCCUGCUAAAGCUGAAACUGAGGGAAGAUCUUUGGCAGCAGAGGUAAAUUCCUCUGUUUCAUGCCCAUCAGCACAUGUUGUCGUGGCGCACUGUUUUCCGACUUCAGCACUCUUUAGAGACGCCUCCACAUGCUCAACUUCAAUCUUAGUUACAGAUGAAUCCAGAUGAGCUGUCACAGGCUUGUUCUUUUUAUCUGUCUGGUUCACAUGAUUAAUCCCCACGUCCAUCUUUUCUGCAGCUAUGCCCUUGGAGAGCUUGGACGAAACAGUUACAUCUUCAGCCGUUUCUUUAUCCAAUUCAGAACUCAAGACUACCGGGGGUUUAUGCUCUUCCUUGUUAUCAGAGUGUGAAUUUGCAACAACCAAGGAUUCUACUUUGGGACAUAAUACGAUGGCUUUACAUUCAGCUGGCGCAGAAGUUUCCACUGAUGUACAAGCAGCCUUUCGAUCGUUAGCUGUUCCACCACAAUCAUUAUCAUCAGACAAUUUCUCUGGCAUCGAUCUAUCAACAUUUUCAGUACUCCUAUCCUUGGCAAACUCUGACAAAACUGAAACCACUUCACCCAUUUUAUUAACUAGCUCAGAACUUAAUAUCACCUUUGGUUUAUCUUCCACCUGAGCACCACCAGCAGCCUCCAAGUGUGAAUCUUCAGCAGUCAAAGAAUCUGCAUUUUGACUUUUGCCAAUGGUUUUACAUAUACGUAAGGCAGAGUUUCCUGUCCUCAUCACUGUAUCUGCCACUCCAUCUGUCUCUGAUAUCUCUUCAGUCUUUUGGUCACUAACUACCCCACUAUCACCAUCAUCAGAAAUGUUUCCCCCAAUGCCUGAUGUGUGCCCAGCGGUUGGGGCAAUAUCAUCUGAAUUUUCAUUGCUUUCUAGGCACUGAUCCACCAAUCUUUGCAACUCUUCGAUUUCUGAAUCGGAGUUAUCAUCAAGAUCUCCCGGCUUAGAAUCAUUUUCAUUCUCUACAACGGCCAACUGCUCGCCACUACUACUGACAUGUUCAACAAUGGUGGGAUUCACAUUCUCAGCUUGCUCGCUAGGCAUGCCAUCCAAAGAAUCUGAAACCCGAGAUACCGAGGGUGAUGCAACAGGGGAUUUGGACAUUUCAUCAGCAGCAACAGUAGCUAGAAGAUUCAUUCCAACAUCAUCUGCACCAGCCACACAUGCAUUCGCCUCAGAGUCCCUGACACAACUUUCAAUCAAAGCAUUCAUUAAGCUGUGUGAUUCACCAUGUCCUUUUCCAGUUUUGACAUCAUCUCCUGAGGUAGGAGACGUGGGCUUGACAAUAUCUUCUAUUUUACUAGACUCAUUAACAGCCUUCUCGUGCCCAUCACCACGUUCACCACAUUUAGGCAGCUUAACCAUCAACUUAUUGCUACAACCUUCAGCUUUCUCAAAAGUUACAGUUCUUUGUGAUGAGAUGCUCCUGCUCAGCCCAACUUCUGCGUGGACUGCAACAGUAUUUCUUUGCUGCCCAACGUUAGCAACAGCAACACCUGUUCCAGGUGAUGGGGCUGAUCUAGUAGAACUUGGAGAGGUGGUUGCAGACUUCACGCUGUUAUCUGAAAUACCGGACACGGACUUAAAAGGAUGCAGAGGAGAUACUGAUGUCUUGGUUGCAUCAAAGGAUACAACUGAGUGUCUACUGCCAUGGGAAACUUCAGACUGACGAGGUCUUCCAGGCUUGGCAUCCAUUUCUGCCUCAACACGUUUCUUCCAUGUAUCAACCAAGCUCCUUGCCUUUUUCCCAAUUUCUGAGUUCUUAUGUGAUCGCAAUCGAUUAACAGACUUCCCAAUGUUGCAAGUCUGAAGAGCAUUGAGAUUCACAGGCAGCUUGUCAAGAGCACGUAGUAAAAUCAAAAGAAACUCGUCCACUGAUCUAUCAUUGUCUUUGGGACUGCUCCCAUCCCCAAUUUUCCUUCUAUGAAUCUCCUGUAGCCACUCAUCAAAAACAGAUAAACCCCUCAGCUGGACGAAACGACUGAGACAGUCAAACUUGUCUGUUGCAGCUACAGCACUUGCAAGAAUGGACCGCCCAAUCAAAUCUGUCUUCUUCUCAUUCUUCUCAGGUAGCAUGAGCUGUACCAAUUUCUCAACCCCUUCAGAAUCCACUAGCCUGCCUCUCUCAGUAAUUUUUGCAAUCUCAGACUUCAAACUGCUUUCUUUUCUUACAAAACCAGAACCGCUAUCAUCAACCCGGCUCGGACGUUCCCUUUUCACAGAUUCAGAACCCUGAUCACCACGCUCUCUCUUCCUUCCCUUGCCCUGUGAAGAAGAGGAGCUACUGUUCUGCAUACCUUCUGUUCCUGUUUUCACUUGAGAUGUUGUUAACCUAGGAGAACAACCACACUGCUGUAAACUCUUACACAAUAAGUUAUCUACUUCUUGUUGACGUUCCUGCAUAAAAAAAAAAGACUUGUCAAAACCAGAGAAGAAACAGAAUUGGAUAAUAAUGAAUUAUGAUCUCACUCACUCACAUCGAUAUAAUCUUGAUCAGUGAGCCACCAAAUAGACUCGUUCAUAACAUCAUAAACCCUCCAGCAAACAAACGAAGAGAUUCCAGAUGGGAGUUCAACGCCUUUGGGAAGAAAGGUAACUUUACACGGAUGAAGCAAAGACGCAGCAGGUAUCUCAUCCUCGUGAAAGGAGUAGAAGACUUCGUUAGGCUGAGCCUCCAAAAGGACGCCCUUGCCAAGCUUCAACUCACCGGGUCGAUACAGCCAAUUCACACGAACCUUAAAGCUGCCUCCUUCUCGUUCCGGAACCAGCAAACGGAUCAAACCAACGAACGGUGGACAAUCCUGAGGCGGCUUGAACAGAGCACAGUCACCAACACUAAUCCUCCUCCCGUCCUGCGAAAAAAAAGAUCAAAACUUUAAAUCAAAUCGGAACCAAUCAAAGCCAGUUGACACGAAUCAAGUUACCUUAGAGAACGAAGAAGGUGAAGAAAGAGAGAGAGACGAAGAAGAAGAAGCGGUUGAGAUUAGACGCGAAGGAGGUCUAAACAUAAGCAGACGACGAUGACCUUUCUCCCUCCCAUGCAUAGCCGUCUCUCAUUUUUUCCCCUUUCGAAUCAAAACAAACACAAUUUCGUCUUCCUUUUCAGAAUUGGUUUUCGAUUACAAUUGAAAAAAAAAAACCCUAAUUGAGAUUAAAAGAAGAAGAUGCGAUUCCUUAGGGAUUGAUUUUUGAAAUCGAGUACCUGAUCCAAUCAACCCGCGAAGAUCCAACAGCGAGAAGAAGCAGAAACCCCCGUAGAGUGCGAGAGAGAUUGAACACGAAUCGAAAGCACGCCCUUGUUUGUUUUUCGAUCCAGCGAAGAAGAAGAAGAAGAAAAAAUAAAAUCGAGAGAAAGAGAAGAGAUGAAGGCAAAAGGGGGGUACUACGAGUCGGGGCAGUUCGGGCAUGUGUUUCGGGCAGCGUUUUUAUUUAUUUUGUUUUUUGGUUUUCUGGUGACAUUUGAGUGUGUUUUCUUUUCUCCCCCCCCACCCCCCCUUUUAAUAGCUUUUUUGAUUUUCUAAUUUUUUCCUAAAUUUAAAACAAAACGAACUUCGUGAUUUAAAAAAAAAAAUUAUUUGGGUUAAACACAAAAAAAAGUCUGAUCAUUUAUAAAAUCAAACGAAAUUUAGGAUCAUUUUCAAUCAAUAAACUCGAAAAGUAAAAUGUGAGUUUCACUCUCGUUUUGUUUCAUAAAAAAUGUCUUCUGAAAAAAAUUCACGUGUAUUAAAAAAUUAAUUAGAAACUCUAUUUUUUCCGUUGACACACUAAAUUCUUUUUUUAUUUAAUACACUAUUACAUUAAGAUUAAAAAUGAACAUUUAUUUAAAAUUUUGUAUUGAAAACACAAUAAAACACACUUUUUGAAACAAAAAAAAACUCUAAGACACACUUCUCAAGAAACAGAAGAAGUAUUAUCUAAUAUUUAUAGAAGAAAAUAUAACAUUCAUAUAAAAAUAGAAAAAAAAAUAUAUAAUAUAUUAGAGUAAAAUUUGCAUCUCCCAUAUCCUUAGAUUCAGAAAUAUCUGUGUAAAUUUUCUUACCAAAAAGGCAAGAAAUAGUGGAGUUUUUUUUCCAUGUAAAUCAGAUACAGUCGGAGGAAGCGUUUCUUCGGAACGUCUCAGCUCCUACUAACACUUGAUCUUAUAAAAUGGGUGUCGUAAAAAAAAUGGAGUAAAAUCUUUAUGUAUUUGAGAAAUUCUGUUUUAAGUGGAAAAAAACUAGAAGAGAGAUUAUCUAUAUAACAAGCAAAUUAAAAUUUUAAUCAUGAACAAGUUGUUUCUACAAGUUUACAAAACCGAUCAGUUUAUAUAAUAAUUUUUGUGAUUUGAUCCGGUUUAUUCUGGCUGAUUUCGGUUUGAAUGUGGUGACCUACCCUCCACAACAAGUUAUUUGCUUAUGAUUUUUAUGGGAGGAUCUUGUGGUUACAUUGUCCAGUGUCAAAUCACUGUCAUCAAAGUACAAGUGACCAAUCAUUGUCUCUCUUUGACACAGACAUUAACUUUUUUUACAAUGAGACUAAGAAGCUAUUUGAGUAGCUUCCAGUGACAUGUCUUCUUCACUCACCGAUAGCUCCAAAACAUGUUCUUCACAAGGCACAAAAUAUGUAGAACAUCUCAAAGAUUUUGAGACAGUAAGGUUAAGCUAACUGAAGGUUCCAUAUUUGCAUAGGUGACAAGACUAGUCAAAAUUGGCAAUUGGAGAUGGUGCAAAAGAUGUUAGGAAUGCUUCAAGAAGCAGAUAUAGGAGUUGGGAUCAGUGGAGUGGAAGCAAUGCAGGUUCUUUAAAGAAUCUUAGGACAACCAUUUGCACGGUUUUGUAUCAAGGUAUAAUGAAUCAUUCAAAUCAAAAAGAGCUGCGUAGUUUGCUGUAUAGUGGAGUUUCUUAACCCAAAGCCUUGCUUCGUUUGCUGUAACUGUUCCCUAUAUUGUACCAGGAAGUGGUACAAAAUCUCCCCUUUGGUUGUUACAUGGCUUCUGCAGCACAAUAACCAUUUUCUUCCUCUGCAAAACCUCUCUUGAAUCCCAAGCUUUCAACCACCAAGGGAAAACCGCAGGGGAGAGAGAGAUUUUUGGAGGAACUAUGUACACAUGUGGGUUGAGUUAGCAGAUGGUACAAUCAGUUACUACCUGUUAUUGCAAAUUUGCAAUAUAUGAGCCAUUUUGUUAUAACAGAGACAAAGUUCUGAAAUGUGGAUUCAAACAUAACUAACCACAAGUAAAAAAAAUCUACAAAAGAGUUGCUGCUGACUAUAUAAUACACAAACCAUGUCAGAUUUUACCAGUCUCAUACCAACAAUGACCAUCAUUUUUUCUUUUACAGCAGAGCUCCAAAAAAAAGAGAAAAAAAAAACAUAAACUAAACACUCGCUUGCAUCUCUAAAAGAGAUAAGGAACUAAGUUAGCGUCUGCUUUUAUCUUCAAGAGUACCUAAGAGCCAACAAAGAUUGAAUUAGAAACACAGUCAGCGAGAGAUAAUAUAAAGAAACAGAAGAUGGUAGAGCUGAAAGAAGAGAGUAAAAAUAUGCUUACAUGCUUAGUGCAACGGCCUACAAAGAGAUUCUGAGGUUUGUUAUUGCCAAGAGGGUUGCGUGUAUCCAUCCCAUCCACCACUGUCUGGUUCCUUCCUCUUGAGAGUACCACCAAACAUUUGAUACAUUCUUGCUUCAUCUUUCAAGGGUAAAGAACCAGAGGAAGAUAGCUGUCUUUGUACAAGUGCUGCUUCAUCUCUGCCAUCAGUUUCAUGCCCUCCUGGUCCAGAGUUCAAGUCAAGACCAGAUCUCAACCAUUUUGCAUUGUUGCUGUCCGAAACUCCACCAUUGCUGUUUGGGAGAUUAACGACAUAAGGCCUUGGGUAGUUAGAAGGGAUGGCAACUCCUGGACCCAAUAUUUGAGAGUUGACAGGAGGGAAGCAUAGCCUGCCACUUGAUGAAGAGUCCAUGUAUGGUGUUGAAGCACCUGAAAAAUUUGCUGAGGAAAGAGGAAAGCUGGAACCAAAAGGGAACCCAGGAUACUGAAAUGCUGAUGGUGGGAAUGAAACUGCUGGAGAAGACAGUAAAACAGGGCCUCUGUACAUAUCAGGUGUAUAUGAUGAAACUUCAGAUGUUGGACCAACCAUUCUCUGCAGUCCAUUGCCUCGUUCAGGCAAGACUUGAGGAAUACUCAUUGCUGAAUAAUUGUUAACAGCAGGAAACCAAGAUGAGAAGCCAGGCCUUAUUCCACUGAUCACUGGCUGUGCACUUCGGGAAUUUUGACUAAAACCCAGAGAUGACUCAGCGUUAACAUCAUCGACAGCAG